AAUGCAUUUUUUGUUUUGGCCGCUCAUCACAAGCGAUUGCACGGUUGCGGUAUAUCGAUAACUACGUGUUAUUUAUCGAUCGAAACGCAGUUGAAAUAUAGGCUUUCUGCGCUUGGCUUCGCUUUUAACGUAUAUGACUAUUCUGCUAUCGUUUGAUUUCAAAUUAUUGCUUUUAGAUAAUUGUCGAUGGGCUUAAAAGAAACAUAUCGAUAGUAUCGCUGCACGUGCAAAAACUAUUGGCACGCGAAACUUGGCGCACACGCAUAACUAAAAACAAGUAGUAGAAGAAGCAGCAGCAGAGAGAGCGCAUCUAAUAGGACUGUCAGACGGACGCGCACAUUUAGCUAAUGCGGUGUCUAGUUCCCAUUAUUGGCCCUUUGCUCAAUCGAUUGGCAAGGUCAACACCAGCUGCUGCUGCUGCUGAUAUCCAUAGCCAUAAACAGUAAAUGUGGUUGAGAGCUUGUUGUUGUUAUUCACUGGACGCAAUUAAAACUUGUUGAUUGUGGGCGACUUUCAUAUUGGCUGUGAGAGAGACAUACAAUAAAUGUGAUUUAUUUGAUAUAGCCAAAGAAUCUGCCAAGGCGAUCAAGUGGCUAAAAAAGUUUA